rnacentral:rRNA from 1 species
CAGUCGGACGGGAUUCAGGGAGUAGCUUGCUACAAACUGAUGAGAGUGGCGCACGGGUGCGUAACGCGUGAGCAACCUACCCAUAUCAGGGGGAUAGCCUCUCGAAAGAGAGAUUAACACCGCAUAACAUUGAUGAACGGCAUCGUUUUUCAAUCAAAUAUUUAUAGGAUAUGGAUGGGCUCGCGUGACAUUAGCUAGUUGGAGAGGUAACGGCUCACCAAGGCUACGAUGUCUAGGGGCUCUGAGAGGAGAAUCCCCCACACUGGUACUGAGACACGGACCAGACUCCUACGGGAGGCAGCAGUAAGGAAUAUUGGUCAAUGGAGGCAACUCUGAACCAGCCAUGCCGCGUGCAGGAUGACUGCCCUAUGGGUUGUAAACUGCUUUUGUCAGGGAAUAAACCUACUUACGUGUAAGUAGCUGAAUGUACCUGAAGAAUAAGGAUCGGCUAACUCCGUGCCAGCAGCCGCGGUAAUACGGAGGAUCCAAGCGUUAUCCGGAUUUAUUGGGUUUAAAGGGUGCGUAGGCGGUCUUAUAAGUCAGUGGUGAAAGACGGCAGCUUAACUGUCGCAGUGCCUUUGAUACUGUAGGACUUGAAUCUAUUUGAAGUGGGCGGAAUAAGACAAGUAGCGGUGAAAUGCAUAGAUAUGUCUUANAACUCCGAUUGCGAAGGNAGCUCACUAANUUAGUAUUGACGCUGAUGCAC